CUCGUGACCCUAAUACUCUUCCGUAGAAAGGCCACGCCCACCUCCUUCCCGUUUGUAACGGACAGAAUUUUAAACGCCGCCAUUUUCCGACGAUAGAAAAAGUGCGCUCAAGAAAAAGACCAGGCAAGACUCUGCUGAGUCGCUAAGAAGCAUCUUGACGUAUUUAAGUUUAAAGGUCAAGAGAAGAUCCGAGUUUCAGUUCAUCUAUAUUUUACAGUUUUAAUUUAAGUAAUACACUAAAAAACGAACUGUUAAAUAUAUAAUUUACACAGUUCAAGUCAAUAUAAUAGUUUUUACUGUAGUAAAUUGUGAGAAAGAAACAUCUUAGAAUAAGAGUUAAGAUAAAUGCAACACUGCUCCCUGUGGUCUUAAUGAAGAACUGCACCUUAAACAUGCUGGAAAAGCAAAUCGUAAUAUUUAUUUGUUAUUAAAUAUUUCUCUUUAUUAUUAUUAUUGAUUUAAAUGAUUUACAUCAGAACAUCUUUGAAUCAUCAUGAGAUUCCCUCAGUAAACCAGGCUGCAACUAAACAUGUAGAAUAACCCACUGAUUCCUUUCUAUAUGUCCAAAUCAAAUCAUAACAAGACUUUGUUUUAAUGUCUUCAAUUCAAAAAAAAGAAGAAGCAACAAUUCACAAUGAGACGUAAAACUUUAUUGAGAAACGUUAGAAGUCUCCAUAGAUUCAUCUUAGAAAAAAAGAUCUUAAAUAAACGCUCAUCUUAAACAACUAAUAAUAAAUAAAGGUAUCUUCUGAUGCUUUAUUAUUAUUUUUUUUUUAUACAGAAUAUAACAUCUGGCUAAUCCUUUAAUUUCUUAAGUUUUAGGAAAUUUCCUGGAAGAAAAAAAAAAGGCAAUUUGGUACAAACGAUGUGUUUAAAUCUUUUUAGUCACUUCAACAAGUCAAAUUACUCUGAUAAUAAGUUAAUUCUGAAUUAACGCUGAGUUUUUUUUUUUUUUCUGUUCUAGGAAACUUCCAGUUGCAGGAACCGA